rnacentral:rRNA from 1 species
UGGGGAAUUUUGGACAAUGGGCGAAAGCCUGAUCCAGCAAUGCCGCGUGUGUGAAGAAGGCCUUCGGGUUGUAAAGCACUUUUGUCCGGAAAGAAAUCCUUGGCUCUAAUACAGUCGGGGGAUGACGGUACCGGAAGAAUAAGCACCGGCUAACUACGUGCCAGCAGCCGCGGUAAUACGUAGGGUGCAAGCGUUAAUCGGAAUUACUGGGCGUAAAGCGUGCGCAGGCGGUUUGCUAAGACCGAUGUGAAAUCCCCGGGCUCAACCUGGGAACUGCAUUGGUGACUGGCAGGCUAGAGUAUGGCAGAGGGGGGUAGAAUUCCACGUGUAGCAGUGAAAUGCGUAGAGAUGUGGAGGAAUACCGAUGGCGAAGGCAGCCCCUGGGCCAAUACUGACGCUCAUGCACGAAAGCGUGGGGAGCAAACAGGAUUAGAUACCCUGGUAGUCCACGCCCUAAACGAUGUCAACUAGUUGUUGGGGAUUCAUUUCCUUAGUAACGUAGCUAACGCGUGAAGUUGACCGCCUGGGGAGUACGGUCGCAAGAUUAAAACUUAAAUGAAUUG